UGCGGCGCGGCGGCCCCGGCGCGGCCCAGCCCGGCCAUGAGCGGCCGUGAGGCGGGGGCGGCCGCCGCCUGCCCGCAGCCAUGGGCCCGCUACCUCGCCCCGGCGACGCUGGAGCUGCUGGCGCUGCCCUGCCGCCUGCCUCGGUCCCAGCCCCAGCACCAGCCCCAACCCCAACCCCAGCACCGGUCUUGCAUUUCAGAUGAUUUAAAAAUAGGAUGUGCCAGCAGAGAUCAUGCAACACAAACAGAUAUCAAAGACAUCCCAGAAUUAAAUGAGCUAGCAACUGCUACGCAAGCUUUAAUCAAGCUCGCUCAAUCCCUCCAGCAAGAUUUGUCCAUCUACAAAAGCACCAUUCAAGCGCAAUAUGAAAAAAAAAUUGAAGAGCAGGCUUCAAAUCUCUGUAAAUAUAUAAAGGAUAGACUGACAGACAUUGAGUCUUUUCAUAAACGGAAAGAAAUCCAAAUUCGUCAGAGCUACCAACAACAGUUAUGUGAUGCAUUGGCUAUUCUCAGAGGAAAUAUUGAGAAGUAUUACAACAUAAAUAUAGAAGACACAGAAUGUUCACCAGGAAAGCUUUUGAGGCUUUUACGUAACAAACUGCAUGAGAAGGAGUCCAUAAUUCAAAAUCUGGAAAGAAAACUGCAGGAAUGUCAAGAAAAAGGAAGGGCUAAAAUGGUUGUCUUUGAAGAUGAUGACCAUGAAAAAAAAAAGUCUGAAAAGGAGAGAGAGGUUUUCAAUGAAGAGGUUUUUAAACUGCGCAACGAGAUUUCUCGUCUUGAAAAUUCUCUGAAACAGUCUGAAAAAGAAAAAUAUGCACUAGAUAGACAAGUUCAAAGCAUGCAAUUAAAAGUGGAAACUGAUGAGCAAACUAUUCAAAAGUUGAUUGAAAUUCAAGAACAAAUGAAGACAGAGCUUGAAAAUGGAAGACUCUUAGCUAACAAUGUGAUAACAUGCGUAGCACCUGAGCAGCAAGCUGCUGAAAAGACCCUGACUGCAGAAAAUGAGAAACUGAAGAAAGGUCAAGGAAGGCAAACCACAGCAAGAAAGGAAGCUGAGCAAUGUAAUAAGAUAUGGAAGAAGAAAUGCCAGACUCUACAAAACAGCCUGCAUGCAAUUAAGGAUGAGAUGUUUCUUAGACAGACCCUGCAACGCCAGUUAAUAGCACUUAAAUGUACAUCUUUUGGUGAAACAAUGGUUUGCCCUGUUUGUGUUGAAAAUGAUACAAAAGAUAUGAAUGGAUCCAAAGCUGGCUUAUGUUUACCUUCAACUUUGGUAUUCCCCAGUGUAUUCCCAGUCUAUUAAAGAGCAGGAAGAAGACAAAGAUCAAUUUUCUAGACUUCCAAACACAACAAAAGUGGACAUAGUUUGAUGAUGAUGAUGAACAGAGGAAGACCAGAGCCUGUGAUGGUCCAAGUGUAGCCUCUGAAUCAUCCCAUACUGAGGAGUCAGAUAUUAUUUUAGAAGUCUGCAAUAUUCUGGUUAACAAAGUCUCAGUGGAAGAGAGAAGCCAUGGGGCUUCAAACUAAGCAUAGCAAAACAUAACGUAAUUGCAUCUCAGCAUGAUCAAGAACCCAUGGGCAAUCUUCUCAAUUCUCCUUUAACAAACCAGAGGCAUGUUUCAGUUUGCAGAAUAGUAAUAUGGACUUAUUUUAAUUCUUCAGACCUAUUGCUCCUACCAAAUAUUGGCUGAAUGAAGAAAAAAAUGUGUUUUGUUUUUUUUUUUAAAGAUACUGAAAGGUGGUUAGCUGAAUUGUGACUGUUUAAAUAGAAAGAAACUGCUUUUUCAGCCACGAGGUUAUUGAUUUUUUGCUAGUGGUUUGAAAGAGUUGUUGCUAUCUUCAGAGGGACAACAUGGAGCACAAAGGAAAAGACUGAGACUGAGAAUGUUCUUAUUUCUGAAAUACUUCAGCAAUUAACUUUUCCUUUACAAGGCCGGCUUGUCUGCUCAUUCUGUUAUGAUGUUCAGUAGUUAUGAUAUUUGAAGCUAUUUAUACCACACGUGGAUAUUUGUAAAUGCCUGCUCUAAGCUAUGUGAGACCUCCUACAUACCAAGGUCAAAAGCCGAGCCCAGGUUACUUUUGGAACUUGUUGGAGCACACCAGGUGACUGACUAGGGUAGAGGACAGACUGAUCCCACUGUGCAUAGGACCUAUCUCCAUCAUGACAGCAGCCUAGAGAAUAGGAUGCUAGUGUGCCUUGCUCUGACUUAGCUUUAAGAAGCAUACUGUUUUUCACUGAUUAGCAGUGGGAAAUGUUCCUGUAGUCUGAAUUCUUUCACUGGAAAAUGCUUCUCAUGUCUGAGAAACUGAGUUUCUGCCUGACAUCCCAGGGACUGGUUUCCUUUGAUAUUGUAAUGUGUUUUGGUUUCAGCACUUUUAAAACAUAAUAACAAUAACAAUAAUAAUAAUAUACAUUAGUAAGCUAAGCAAGAAUAUUCAUAGCAGCAUCAAUUAUACUGACAGGAAAAUAUUCCCUAAACUGAUACUUGAAAAUGAUAGAAACAUAGUUGAAAUGAUUUCUUGAAUUCAGCUAUGAGAAGGAAUAUAUUGAAAACUGACCCAAAAAAAAGAUUUUUCUGACACAGAGAUAGUGAUGUUUUGUCUUUGGCAUGCAGGUUGAUAUCUUUCUCAGGGAUAGUUGAUGAGAUUGUAAAAUGUAACAUUUGCAUGCAUUAUUGAAACUCUACAAAAAUAAUUGCUCUAAUUACCAAUGCUCUAUAAAGUCAUUCUAGUUACGAAGUCGUACAGGUGGGUGAUGUCUGCAUUGCAAGUUCUCCUUAAUGAGGGCAUGGGAUACUCUAAAGGAAUCCUUGACAUUUUGCAUGACUCUUCUGCCCUGUAAGGUAUCUUCUUGACAACUGAUAAACUCUGUGCUGAAUAGUCUGGUAACCAGCCUCUUCCAUGCUUCCAUAUCCACAUGAAUUAUUAGGUGUCUAGUCUGUUUGCUGUAUGGAUUUUCUGUUUGUCCUCUUGUCAUGGCUGCUGCUGCUGCUGGAAUGAACAAGACAAAAAAAAGUAUUAAGAAAAUGAAAUGUUUUUAAGAAAAAAACAGCACCCUGUGCCUUGACUCUUUUCAGCUUAUAAUAUUGACCUACGUAGCUUCAAUUGCAAGAUAUGCUUGUAAAAUAGCUUAUCUUUCCUCACUUUGGAGAUUAUUACCACAGAGUUCCUGUGAAGAUGUUGAACAUUCAGCUGUCACAGUGUGUACAGAGAGAAAUCAAGGGAUGUAAGUGGCUUCUUUACAGCAUGACUCGUUUCUACUUACAUUACUGCUGUAUAUGGUGCUGCAUAUAGGAGGACAGUCCCAGAGUCCUUAUUCAGUACUGACUGCAUGAGCUUUCUCUGGAUAUAUGGAAUUUUAAGAGGGAUACUGCUUGGAGUCGUAAACUAUAUGAAUGUACCCAUCAAAAGAAGAAAGUUGUCAAAAACUAUUUGUCUUUGGUUGAGUUUCUUACACAUGCAACCUGCCCUGCUACCUCACCUUCUCAGUUACCUGAGGACUUUUCAAGAAAAAAAAUAAAAAAAUGCAAGCCAAGGAAGAGGAAAGGCCUUCCCUGCAUUCCCAGUCUUCAGUCCUGUCUUAAAGAACAACAGAAAUAAAUAAAAGACAGUCAGAAAAUAGAGGUUAAAUUGAAAUAAGCUUUUGAAAGCACAAACAUAUUAGAAAGUCUGUCCAUAACUGGGCAAGGGUUUAAUUCCCCAAUAAUAGAAUUUGCUCAACAUGCUUCAAAUCAUCUGAUCAGAUGUUCAAAGAGUACAUCUAGUAAGCUCCAAACUGAAAAUAUGAGGUUUGAGCUUUCCAAGGAAAUAUGCAUGGAACAUGGCAACACCAGUUCAAGACAAGAAUGUCUGUAUAGUCCGAACAUAUAUACAUAUAUAUAAAAUUAUCUUUAUGUCAAGGUUUGAACAAGAUAAAAUUUCUUUCUGAAAUACUGAAGCCCUCGUAACUGGUGCAAACACAGAGAAAGCUUCAGAUAUAUGAUUCCUAUAUAAAAAUCCCCGAUUGAUUUUAUUGCAAGUUGUCAACUCAUGGAAAGAUUAUUGACAUCAGCUUUAAACUUUUAGUUAGUCAAAAGAAUGUGAAUUUCUUUUCUAAAAUAAUGAAAUACAUAGUUUUGGUGACUCUGACAAACAGUAUGGAAGUGAGAGCAGUUUCAGUGCCACAUGUCAAAGCAUCGGUAAAAUCAUUUGGUUGUAUCCUCAUAGUUGUGUAUAAGACCAGUGAAUACUGAGGUAGAAUUAAUUGCAGUAAAUCUCAGGUAAGUUCAUUGUUUGGAACUUAAUGUGUUUGGGAAAUUGUUCUUUAAACAAGUCAAUAACACAAUGCUUUAGUGCAUAAUUUUUGCUGUGAAUAAGUUUGAUGACAUUUUAUGAAACACAUUACUUCAUAAGCAAAGGUGUGAAAGAACAGUGGCUUAGGAAUGAAUGACAAUCUAAAAAAUGUAAAUUUUAGGAAGAGAAUUGUUUCUUUUACCUAUUGUUCAAGUUCCUGAAUUUGAGAUUCAAAUGCUGCAUCAGUUCCCCUAAUUGUCUGCCUCCAUAUACAAAUUUAAUAAUACAGUAGAAUUUAUCAUACAAUUAAUUGUCACUUCAUUAGCUUCA